AAUGAGUGUGAAUGUUGUCUAUCGGUGUUGGCCCUGCGAUGAGGUGGCGACUUGUCCAGGGUGUACCCCGCCUUCCGCCCGAUUGUAGCUGAGAUAGGCUCCAGCGCCCCCCGCGACCCCGAAGGGAAUAAGCGGUGUAUGUUACACUGGCAGUUAAUCCACAGCCAAACUGGACAUACGGAAGUUGUCACGUGGGGGUUUGCGGCUCACUGCGGGGUCGUUCUCCCGGGAAAGCAGAACGGACAACUCCGGACGACAGCGUGAGCUACAUUUCCAGCAGUGUGGGUGGCACUGGGAGCAAGGUGGGUGAAGUCUUUCCAAAGGACACAUCGGCAGAGACUCGGAUGGCGAAAGCUGGAUUCGAACCAAUAACCUUCAAGUGUCUGGCCGGUUACUCUACCUUCUGAGCCCCACCGCCACUUCUUCGACCUGGAGCCUCUCCCAGCUGAAUUUGGGGCGAAAAGUGGGUUGCAGGUCAAUCAUAGGGCACAUGUAGAGACUCACACCAGAACAGCACAAAAAACAGGGAACUCAGAUGUGAUCUGGAUUCACACUAACAUGCAAUUUCAUACUUAAAUGAUGACUUUUUAAAAUUUUAUUUCACCUAACAAGUUGUAUCACAAACAAACAUUCACUUUUGUAGUUUUGUUAAAUUGAAAAGUUGAGAUGCAUCAAGACUGACUGUGACGUGGAAAUGUUCGCUGCCUCACCCCAAGACUGUGGAUGCUUUGGUGAAACACAGAGGUGCUCGCUGGGGCUUUGCCAACAUUUGAUUUGAACAAUGUAAAAACGACUGAGGC